rnacentral:rRNA from 1 species
AUACGUAGGGGGCAAGCGUUAUCCGGAUUUACUGGGUGUAAAGGGAGCGUAGACGGAAGGCCAAGUCUGAUGUGAAAGCCCGCGGCUCAACUGCGGGACUGCAUUGGAAACUGGUCAUCUGGAGUGCAGGAGGGGUAAGCGGAAUUCCUAGUGUAGCGGUGAAAUGCGUAGAUAUUAGGAGGAACACCGGUGGCGAAGGCGGAUUACUGGACUGUAACGGACGUUGAGGCUCGAAAGCGUGGGGAGCAAACAGGAUUAGAUCCCCUGGUAGUCCACGCCGUAAACGAUGAAUACUAGGUGUCGGGUUUCUAUAGAGAUUCGGUGCCGCAGCAAACGCAAUAAGUAUUCCACCUGGGGAGUACGUUCGCAAGAAUGAAACUCAAAGGAAUUGACGGGG